rnacentral:tRNA from 1 species
GGUGAUGUGGCUCAGUUGGUAGAGCAUGGUGUUUGCAACGCCAGGGUGUUUGCAACGCCA